rnacentral:rRNA from 1 species
UGACAGCCCCGUUUAUACUCGUGUCAUGAGCGUACGUAUGCCUUUCUACGAGUCGAGUUGUUUGGGAUUGCAGCUCUAAGUGGGUGGUAAAUUCCAUCUAAAGCUAAAUAUUGGUGGGAGACCGAUAGCGCACAAGUACCGUGAGGGAAAGAUGCAAAGAACUUUGAAAAGAGAGUUAAAGAGUACCUGAAAUUGCUGAAAGGGAAGCAAAGGAAACCAGUGCGUUGUGCGUGUCAUAUUUCUCCUGCUGCUUGCGGUGGGGGCGCUGUGGCCGUGCGUAGCGUCAGCAUCGGUUCGUACUUCGGAGCAAACGGUGUGGCUGGAGGUUAUUCCAUUACGGGAUGAAUGACAGCCGCUCUAAGUUCUGGAGGGGACCGAGGUUAGUCACAUGCUCGUGAUGCUGGCUAAAUGGUUUUCUUUACCCCGUCUUGAAACACGGACCAAGGAGUCUGACACGGAUGCGAGUAUUGUGGUGGCAAACCACAGUGCGCAAUGAAAGUGAUGAUUGGAUGCUUCGGCUGCACCAUCGACCGACCACUUGGCUACGGCCUCGAGGUUUGAGUGGGAGCAUUUGUGUCGGGACCCGAAAGAUGGUGAACUAUGCCUGAAUAGGGUGAAGCCAGAGGAAACUCUGGUGGAGGCUCGCAGCGGUUCUGACGUGCAAAUCGAUCGUCAAAUUUGGGUAUAGGGGCGAAAGACUAAUCGAACCAUCUAGUAGCUGGUUCC